rnacentral:lncRNA from 1 species
AAUUGGGAGAUCAAAUCCUUGAUCUGUAGCCUUCUUCUUCUUCUCUUGAUCCUUAAUCUCUAAGUCACCAGAACUCCUUCUAGGCAUAUGAAAGAGAGAACACCCAACCUUUGGGCAUGAAAAGGAAGAGUAUGAGAGAGAGGAGGCAUGGAGAUGGAGAGAGAGAAGAUUUUCUUGAUGAAAAAUGAAUACUAAGAAACCCUAGAGACCUCUCUUUAAAUAGACAUAAGCCC